rnacentral:lncRNA from 1 species
CACCAUAAACAACUUUUCUCCAUUUUGAAUGGGUUGGAGAAGAGCUCCCACUGAUGUUAGCCUCCAUCUGUAUCAUACAACUCUACUCUACAGCAUCUGCGAACAAUUAUUAAAUGACAGUCAGCAAUUUUAUUUUACUUUUUUAUGAAGGUGUUUCAUCAACAGGCAUCAAGAAGAUGCAUUACAAGAAGCAUAAUUACAAGCAAAAAGAUUUCUUCUCAAAAAAAAAAAGAAGUAAAAAGACUAAAGAGCAAUGUUAGCCCUAAUACAGUGUGUCAGUCUAGCACAAAGCAACUAACAAAGUCCAAAAAUAAAUGACAGUCAGCACUCAGGGAUCCUAAAUCAUAAUCACUCUCUUAUAGUUUACACAACAAGUUAGAGAUGAAAAAAGGGAAAACACAACAAAUCAUGCAUCUAGCUUAGGAUCUGGAGCCACGUGAUAUUUAAAUCAACGUUCACCACUCUCCAUUCACAUUAGUUAUCACAAACACACUAAUUCCACUAACUCCACACCACUGUAUAUUGAGUAAUUUUCAAGCUAGGUAAACACAUUGCAGACACAAAAAUUCACAUUGCAUAUACGAAAUAAAAAAAAAAGAAACCGAGCUACAAAAUUUUGCAAUAUCAAGCCUUUUCAAGUCUGAUAUAUUAAUACAUUUAACACCAUCCAAUUUCGUUUUACAUCACUAACUCCUCUUAAUUGAUAAACUGUACUCUUGAUAUCUUCGGCUUUUGGAGCAGAGUAAAGCCUUUAAGUUUCUCUCAAAGUGUAUGUAGUGUUAGCGAAAGCACUCGCUUCCUCGCUUUAAACGAGAAGCCAUGCAAAGCGCCACAGUUCCCGCUUCCCCCAUGUGAAGCGACACAGGUAUAACAAAGUGACCGCUUCCUAAAAAGCGAGAAGUGUCCAAGCAUAGUGAUGCGAAAGAAGCGACCAGCUUCUUUGUAUUAAAGAGAAGCCAGGUCCUAUUUUAUUAAAAACGAGUUUCCGUGUAAUUAGUGCUUUUAGCAGAUCAUCUUCAACAGCGACUAGAGGCGACUAGGGUUCUUCUUCUUUCACUGAUUCAAAAUCCCGAAAUGCUGGCGAAUUUUUUUUACCUUCAGUUCUUUCUAAGAAUUGAUGCCAAUCCUUGGGUUCUUCUUUCUCUGUCCAGUUUAUAACAGAGAAUUGCUGCCCUUCCUCUGAUUUUUAUAUUUUUUUGUUCUUAGUUCUUAUUGUCUUUCUUAUGUGUUAUGUAGUUGUCUACGCAGUAUUUAUUUUAAUUUUUUUUAAUUUCGCUUCAUUUCAAAAAAGCGAGCGCUUCGCUUCUCGCUUUAAGCGAAAUGGGGAUUGUAAUUUUUUCUCGCUUCACACUCUUCACAACACUGAGUGUAUGAUAUAACCUCCUUAUACUCAAAUGAUAUUUUUUUAUAUCAAUUCUGAAGUAUCAAAUGGAGGGAAAAAAAGGUACCAAAUGGACUUAAAAGUUACACAUAUUGCCCUUUAACCUCAAAAGAAUCCCAUCCUAGCCCCACACUUGAUGAGCACCUCUAGCCAACCCCAAGAUAUUGCUGGAUUAUUUUUCACUAUAUUUUAGAAAUAUCCAGCGGUGUUGUCACUGACAACCAGAAGAAGUAAAUUGCACCCAUAUCUUAUACUAUUCUGAUUGCACCAUCAAUCAUUACUAUUGGCAAGGAAACCACAAGCAGAAAAGAAAAGAGCAGUAUAAGCUCAGAUAACUACUACAAAAUGAUGAACUCGGAAGAUAGAGCUGGCAGUUUAAUUUUUUCAACGUCUACCUUGAAUGUGUAUAGGAAUGAUAUGGACCUCAGUGGAGUGGAUUGAUAAAGAUAAUUCAUAUAGUAGACUUAACAUAUCUAAGCAUUAAACAUAGCCGAACAAGUUGUAUCUUGAAUGACUGAUAGCAUCAUUAACCAAAAAAAAGUAGAAGAGGUUUUAACCAUAAGUACACAGCAACAAGGGGUUUAGCUAUGGAAGCAUAAUUGGAGGUUGAAGGUUCCCUUAAACUAAUUGAGUUUUGGUCAGACAGGCUGUUCCGACAUGAGAGCUUAAUGAAGAGGGGAAUAUAAUGCCCCUGUGCUCCAAAUGUUUUCUGUGUGGAAAGGCCAUCGAAACAAACAGUCAUCUGUUUCUCCAUUGUCAGGUGACCAAUAGAUUGUGGAAACUAUUCAUGAGUAUGAAAAGCUUAAGCUGGGUAAUGCCUAGUGAGACUAUGGACUUGCUUUCUAAUUGGGACAAUUUAGCUGAACAAUAAAAGAGAAAGCCGACCUUUCCAUUAAGUAGCAAUCACAACAAAGUGUUAUAAUAACAGUGAAUGAAACUCUCUCUUACAGCCACCAUAACAAUACUAUUUAUAGUUGGCGAAUUACUGAGGCUCUAAGUUUAACAAGAUAAAACAUCCGAAAAUUAAGGUCGCAGAGGCAAUUUAAUAACAACAACAACAACAACAACAAUAAUAAUAGCAAACACACAAACAAAAAGAAUCUGAAUCAGUAAAUAAUAAAGUGCAAGUAAAAUCAGAGUAAGACUUCAUGUUAGAAAGAGAAAAUUUUGAGAAGAAGAGUACAAGAUCGAGAUUUUGGGAAAUCAAAUUUAAUACACGGGAGAGGACGAAUCUGUGUGAAAUAUAUUAAAAAUAAUAACAGAGAAAUUUCAUAAUUUUUACCUACUUUGUGAAAUCGUGAACUUGGACGGAUUCUCCAAAGAAAAAUCUAUCCCGAUCUUCGCAAUUUUUCUUCAAAAUCUGUUUUUGAGAGUGGAAACAGGGAAGGAAACAUUCUGAUUUGUGAUUAGGAGAAGAUUAGAAAAUUUGAUAUAUACGGAUAGAAGAAUUAAGGAAAGAGAAUAAAAUAGGGAGGCCUAAGAAGUAUUGAGGAGGGAUGAUUAGGCAGGACAUGACUAGAAUGCAGGUUUCCGAGGACAUGACCCUUGAUAG